rnacentral:rRNA from 1 species
CCCUUAGAUGUUCUGGGCCGCACGCGCGCUACACUGAUGCAGUCAACAAGUUUAUUUCCUGAGCUGAAAAGUUUGGGUAAUCUUUUGAAACUGCAUCGUGCUGGGGCUUGACGAUUGCAAUUAUUUGUCACAAACGAGGAAUUCCUAGUAAACGCAAGUCAUCAUCUUGCAUUGAUUACGUCCCUGCCCUUUGUACACACCGCCCGUCGCUCCUACCGAUUUCGAGUGGUCCGGUGAAUCUUUUGGAAUUAGAGUGCAAACUCAAACUAAGAUCGAUAAACCUUAUCACUUAGAGGAAGGAGAAGUCGUAACA